GAUGAACGCUGGCGGCGUGCCUAAUACAUGCAAGUCGAGCGAACGGACGAGAAGCUUGCUUCUCUGAUGUUAGCGGCGGACGGGUGAGUAACACGUGGAUAACCUACCUAUAAGACUGGGAUAACUUCGGGAAACCGGAGCUAAUACCGGAUGAUAUUUUGAACCGCAUGGUUCAAAAGUGAAAGACGGUCUUGCUGUCACUUAUAGAUGGAUCCGCGCUGCAUUAGCUAGUUGGUAAGGUAAUGGCUUACCAAGGCAACGAUGCAUAGCCGACCUGAGAGGGUGAUCGGCCACACUGGAACUGAGACACGGUCCAGACUCCUACGAGAGGCAGCAGUAGGGAAUCUUCCGCAAUGGGCGAAAGCCUGACGGAGCAACGCCGCGUGAGUGAUGAAGGUCUUCGGAUCGUAAAACCCUGUUAUUAGGGAAGAACAUAUGUGUAAGUAACUGUGCACAUCUUGACGGUACCUAAUCAGAAAGCCACGGCUAACUACGUG
rnacentral:rRNA from 1 species